rnacentral:rRNA from 1 species
GAUGAACGCUGGCUGUGUGCCUAAUACAUGCAUGCCGAGCGAAGCACUUUUGUGCUUAGCGGCGAAUGGGUGAGUAACACGUACUUAACCUACCCUCAAGAUUGGGACAACACUUGGAAACGAGUGCUAAUACCAAAUACGUAUUUUUAUCGCAUGAUAGAUAUAUAAAAGGAGCUUCGGCUUCACUAGAGGAUGGGAGUGCGCUACAUUAGUUAGUUGGUAGGGUAAUGGCCUACCAAGACUAUGAUGUAUAGCGGGGCCGAGAGGCUGAUCCGCCACACUGGGACUGAGAUACGGCCCAGACUCCUACGGGAGGCAGCAGUAGGGAAUUUUCCACAAUGAACGAAAGUUUGAUGGAGCGACACAGCGUGCAGGAUGAAGGUCUUCGGAUUGUAAACUGCUGUUAUAAGAGAAGAAAAACCCUGGUAGGUAAUGACCAGGACUUGACGGUACCUUAUCAGAAAGCGACGGCUAACUAUGUGCCAGCAGCCGCGGUAAUACAUAGGUCGCAAGCGUUAUCCGGAAUUAUUGGGCGUAAAGAGUUCGUAGGUGGUUUUGUAAGUCUGAAGUUAAAUACCGGGGCUCAACCCCGGCCCGCUUUGGAUACUGCAAAACUAGAGUAAUAGAGAGGUUAGUGGAACUCCAAGUGAAGCGGUGGAAUGCGUAGAUAUUUGGAAGAACACCAAUGGCGAAGGCAACUAACUGGAUAUUAACUGACACUGAGGAACGAAAGCGUGGGUAGCAAACAGG